GCCCCCCGUGCAGCGCACCUCAAAAGUAGACAUUGUGAUAAGCGUAAAUGACAUUUUCAGCAACGCCGGCAAAAGUUACCGUGUUUCGCAAAAUCACACGGUUCCCUCUGGCUUCGAAUACAAGGUUGUGUCGUUCGAUGGAGUGGCACCUACUCAUGGACCAGUAGCUGGAGGAACCAACAUUUCUUUGAGCGGAGUUAACCUAGACAUUGGCUUAGAGCAGGUAGUGAAAAUCGGCAGAAGCUUAUGCGGAAUAAGAAGAGUGGAAAAUAGGUUUCUUCAUUGUUCAACGAGCUCCGUAAGCCCUAGAUCGCUUCAAAGGAUGCAAGUCAGGCUGGUUAUAGAUGGCGCUGAAGUUCCUUUCACUACGUCGGAUGGUCGACGCCCAACAUUCACUUACAUGCCGAACCCAGUGAUCGACAACAUCUCUCCCUCCAAUGCAAC